rnacentral:rRNA from 1 species
AUUGAACGCUGGCGGCAGGCCUAACACAUGCAAGUCGAACGAGUGGCGACGGGUGAGUAAUUUCUGGGAAACUUCCUUAUGGAGGGGGAUAACUACUGGAAACGGUAGCUACUACCCCAUACCAUUAGAUUUGCCCAAAUGGGAUUGGCUUGUUGGUGGGGUAACGGCUCCCCAAGGCGACGAGCCCUAGCUGUGCUGAGAGGAUGACCAGCCACACUGGAACUGAGACAAGGUCCAGACUCCUACGGUAGGCAGCAGUGGGGAAUAUUGCACAAGGGGCGCAAGCCUGAUGCAGCCAUGCCGCGUGUAUGAAGAAGGCCUUCGGGGUGUAAAGUACUUUCAGCGGGGAGGCGUUACCCGCAGAAGAAGCACCGGCUAACUCCGUGCCAGCAGCCGCGGUAAUAC